UACAGAGGGUGCAAGCGUUGUUCGGAAUUAUUGGGCGUAAAGCGCGUGUAGGCGGCCAAGCAAGUCGGGUGUGAAAGCCCUCAGCUUAACUGAGGAAGUGCGCCCGAAACUACGUGGCUUGAGUACCAGAGAGGGGUGCGGAAUUCCCGGUGUAGCGGUGAAAUGCGUAGAUAUCUGGAGGAAUACCGGUGGCGAAGGCGGCAUCCUGGACCGACAUUGACGCUGAGGAGCGAAAGCUAGGGGAGCAAACGGG
rnacentral:rRNA from 1 species